rnacentral:rRNA from 1 species
UGAGGAAUAUUGGGCAAUGGGGGCAACCCUGACCCAGCCAUGCCGCGUGAGUGAAGAAGGUCUUCGGAUUGUAAAGCUCUUUCGGACGUGACGAUGAUGACGGUAGCGUCUAAAGAAGCACCGGCAAACUUCGUGCCAGCAGCCGCGGUAAUACGAAGGGUGCGAGCGUUGUUCGGAAUUACUGGGCGUAAAGGGAGUGUAGGCGGAUAUGUAAGAUAGCGGUGAAAUGCCGGGGCUCAACCCCGGAACUGCCAUUAUGACUAUGUAUCUAGAGUAAUGGAGAGGAUAGCGGAAUACCCAGUGUAGAGGUGAAAUUCGUAGAUAUUGGGUAGAACACCGGUGGCGAAGGCGGCUAUCUGGCCAUUUACUGACGCUGAGGCUCGAAAGCAUGGGGAUCAAA